GCCAGUGUAGCUCAGUGGUAGAGCAACGGUUUUGUAAACCGUCGGUCGUCGGUUCAAUCCCGACCACUGGCUCCA
rnacentral:tRNA from 1 species